rnacentral:rRNA from 1 species
AUUGAACGCUGGCGGCAUGCUUUACACAUGCAAGUCGAACGAUAACAGGGUGCUUGCACCGCUGACGAGUGGCGAACGGGUGAGUAAUGCGUCGGAACGUGCCGAGUAGUGGGGGAUAACGCAGCGAAAGUUGUGCUAAUACCGCAUACGUACUGAGGUAGAAAGUGGGGGACCUUCGGGCCUCACGCUAUUCGAGCGGCCGACGUCUGAUUAGCUAGUAGGUGAGGUAAAGGCUCACCUAGGCGACGAUCAGUAGCGGGUCUGAGAGGAUGAUCCGCCACACUGGGACUGAGACACGGCCCAGACUCCUACGGGAGGCAGCAGUGGGGAAUUUUGGACAAUGGGCGAAAGCCUGAUCCAGCCAUGCCGCGUGUCUGAAGAAGGCCUUCGGGUUGUAAAGGACUCUCGUCAGGGAGGAAAUCCCUAGUGCUAAUAACACUGGGGGAUGACAGUACCUGAAGAAUAAGCACCGGCUAACUACGUGCCAGCAGCCGCCGUAA